GCCUUGGUAGCUCAGUUGGUAGAGCAUGAGGCUCUUAAUCUCAGGGUUGUGGGUUCAAGUCCCAUGUUCCUGAACUCCAGGGGG